AGUGAACGCUGGCGGUAGGCCUAACACAUGCAAGUCGAACGGCAGCACAGUAAGAGCUUGCUCUUACGGGUGGCGGGUGGCGGACGGGUGAGGAAUACAUCGGAAUCUACUUUUUCGUGGGGGAUAACGUAGGGAAACUUACGCUAAUACCGCAUACGACCUACGGGUGAAAGCAGGGGAUCUUCGGACCUUGCGCGAUUGAAUGAGCCGAUGUCGGAUUAGCUAGUUGGCGGGGUAAAGGCCCACCAAGGCGACGAUCCGUAGCUGGUCUGAGAGGAUGAUCAGCCACACUGGAACUGAGGCACGGUCCAGACUCCUACGGGAGGCAGCAGUGGGGAAAAUUGGACAAUGGGCGCAAGCCUGAUCCAGCCAUACCGCGUGGGUGAAGAAGGCCUUCGGGUUGUAAAGCCCUUUUGUUGGGAAAGAAAAGCAGCAGGUUAAUACCCCGCUGUUCUGACGGUACCCAAAGAAUAAGCACCGGCUAACUUCGUG
rnacentral:rRNA from 1 species